rnacentral:rRNA from 1 species
AUUGAACGCUGGCGGCAGGCCUAACACAUGCAAGUCGAACGAGGGGGGGAAGGGUGAGUAAUGUCUGGGAAACUGCCUGAGGGAGGGGGAUAACUACUGGAAACGGUAGCUAAUACCGACAACCAUAAGAUGGGCCCAGAUGGGAUUAGCUUGUUGGUGGGGUAACGGCUAACAAAGGCGACGAUCCAUAGCUGGUCUGAGAGGAUGACCAGCCACACUGGAACUGAGACACGGUCCAGACUCCAUCGGGAGUCAGCAGUGUGUAACAUUGCAUAAGGGGCGCAAGCCUGUUGCAGCCAUGCCGCGUGUAUGAAGAAGGCCUUCGGGUUGUAAAGUACUUUCAGCGGGGAGGCGUUACCCGCAGAAGAAGCACCGGCUAACUCCGUACCAGCAGCCCGGUAAUUC